UACAGAGGUGGCAAGCGUUGUUCGGAAUUACUGGGCGUAAAGGGCGCGUAGGCGGUUCGUUAAGUCCUGUGUGAAAUCCCCCGGCUCAACUGGGGAACUGCACAGGAAACUAGCGGGCUUGAGUUCGGGAGAGGGAAGCGGAAUUCCGGGUGUAGCGGUGAAAUGCGCAGAUAUCGGGAAGAACACCCGUGGCGAAGGCGGCUCUCUGGGACGGUACUGACGCUGAGACGCGAAAGCGUGGGGAGCGAACAGG
rnacentral:rRNA from 1 species